GUGCCAGCAGCCGCGGUAAUACCGGCAGCCCGAGUGAUGACCGAUCUUAUUGGGCCUAAAGCGUCCGUAGCUGGCUACGCAAGUCCGUCGGGAAAUCCACGUGCUUAACGCGUGGGCGACCGGCGGAAACUGUCCGGCUUGGGGCCGGAGGACCCGAGGGGUACGUCCGGGGUAGGAGUGAAAUCCCGUAAUCCUGGACGGACCGCCGGUGGCGAAAGCGCCUCGGGAAGACGGACCCGACAGUGAGGGACGAAAGCUGGGAUCUCGAACCGGAUUAGAUACCCGAGUAGUCC
rnacentral:rRNA from 1 species